AGUUCUCCUUAUACCCAGCAGCCACGGUAGCCGCGUUUAGAAAGAGCUGGCGGAAAAUGAAUCUAUGGAGGAAGUUCAACAACUGCCAAGAAAUGAAGACAGCUGAGAAGUUAAUGUGAAAAAUCAGUAGCAACUACUUUCAGCUGCCACUGUUGCUCAAUUACUACAUCAUCACAACACAUGAGAAGUAACCAUGAUCAAGAAUAAACUGCAUGCUCAUCUGUCUCCUUUUUGGCAGUGGCUGUAGUUAUUAAUGAACUUUUUUGUUCAGUUGGGAGGAGGAAAAGAUUCUUCUGCAGAUAAUUGUGCAUAUGAUAUAAUAAAAUCGGGAUUACCUACU